UGCCAGCAGCCGCGGUAAUACAGAGAGUGCAAGCGUUAAUCGGAAUUACUGGGCGUAAAGCGCACGUAGGUGGAUAUUUAAGUCAGUUGUGAAAGCCCUAGGCUCAACCUAGGAACUGCAGCUGAUACUGGGUAUCUAGAGUAUAGUAGAGGGAAGUGGAAUUUCAGGUGUAGCGGUGAAAUGCGUAGAUAUCUGAAAGAACAUCAGUGGCGAAGGCGGCUUCCUGGACUAAUACUGACACUGAGGUGCGAAAGCGUGGGGAGCAAACAGGAUUAGAUA
rnacentral:rRNA from 1 species